CCUUAUACGAAGAUAGUCACGAUGAGUGUCCACACAGAUUGAUGGUUUAGAUUUAGUUAAAGCCAGAGCUUUAAUUAAUAACGUAAGUUAUUGAUUAAAGCUUUUUGCUUUAUGCUCUUUAACAAUUUGGAAAGCUGACUGAUUGAUUUACUUACGAGUAAUUCAAUCAAAUUUAAAAGUUCUCAAUGUUUAUCUUUCAUUAGAUAGACACAACAAACACAUUCAAGUGUCUUGUAUUCGAAUCAAACUUAGUUUGAUUCACAAUUGAGUCCGGCAAACAGUCAUUAAGAAUUAACCCUUCUUGAUGACAACCAAAAACCUUGGUUAGUUGCCAUACGCUUAUUUGUCUUCACUUUUUAAAGUGAAAGCAAAUAGAAACCCUUUCGGGUUGUAU
rnacentral:misc_RNA from 1 species